UAUAAGCNNNUNUACNGUGAAACUGCGUGGCUCCAGUUAUCGUAUAUUUGAUAGUACCUUACUACAUGGAUAACCGUGGUAAUUCUAGAGCUAAUACAUGCUAAAAACCCCGACUUCGGAAGGGGUGUAUUUAUUAGAUAAAAAACCAAUGCCCUUCGGGGCUCCUUGGUGAAUCAUAAUAACUUAACGAAUCGCAUGGCCUUGCGCCGGCGAUGGUUCAUUCAAAUUUCUGCCCUAUCAACUUUCGAUGGUAGGAUAGUGGCCUACCAUGGUUUCAACGGGUAACGGGGUAUUAGGG
rnacentral:rRNA from 1 species